rnacentral:lncRNA from 1 species
UGACAUGGGGAAGACUCACCUGGCUACUCAGGUUACAUGCAACUGGACGGCCCUUACUUCCUUUGAAUCACGUAACACAAAAGGUGCGCACGUAGAAAUCACCUGCACUAAAAACCAUCUGCUGAACUCUGAAGUGCACGGUUCAGUCUCAACCCAAAGCUUCCUGCUAGCAGGUCCAACUCAAGAUCAGGAGUCCAUAUUGGGUGGAGGCAGCAAGCAGGCUUCUUCGGCUGUUUCUUUUGACACAGUCUCCCUAAACAGUCCAGGUGGCCUUUGGCUCUUGGCCUUCCUACCUAUGCUGGCGCCAUCGAGCAGAGAAGAACCAAACGUGAACGAAUGCCGCUGAGGAAAGCACCCCACCCCUCCCUUACUCGACAACCGCAAAGCCACUUCUUAUCACAGGAUUAAAAAGGAGUCAGAA